UGGAAGUAAAAAUCGUAACAAGGUUUCCGUAGGUGAACCUGCGGAAGGAUCAUUAACAUUAAUUUACUACACACUGUUUUUUUACAACAAAACAAAUCUAUCUAAAAACAAUUCUUUACAAGAAAUUCUUAAAACUUUCAACAACGGAUCUCUUGGUUCUCGCAUCGAUGAAGAACGCAGCGAAAUGCGAUACGUAAUACGAAUCGCAGCUCUCGGAAUCAUCGAAUCUUUGAACGCACAUUGCACCAUUGGGUAUUCCCAAUGGUAUGCUUGUUUGAGCGAAUACUUCCCUAAUCCUCACGGAUUGUAUUGUGUUUGCACGAAAAUAAUGACGACAGUACUCUACAAAACGGUACCGUCAGUACACUCAUUUUUUUUCCUCAAAUCAAGUAGGACUACCCGCUGAACUUAAGCAUAUCAAAAGCCGGAGGAA
rnacentral:rRNA from 1 species